rnacentral:misc_RNA from 1 species
CAAGAAACGAGGCCGCGUGCGCUCGCCCGCCCGGCCCCGCUCCUUACCUUGCCUACUGCACCGUUUGUUGCUUCCUGGCGGCGGACUGCCCGCCGCCAGGGACGUUGAUACAACCCUUGCUAAGCAGCAUCCGAAAAGCUCUGAGUACAAAACGCUUAAAUCGUUAC